rnacentral:lncRNA from 1 species
UUGGUGUAGUGGUUCAAGCUUUUGGCUUUUCCAAGAAAGUCAUGAGUUCGAAUCAUGAGAUGUGCAUGUGUGGUAACUAGCAAAACAAAAGAAAGAAAAGGAAAAAUACAUAAUAGUGUGUGGAGAGUUAUAAAAAAUCUUAAAAGUGAGACAAAAUGUGGUUAGAUCCAUAUCUUGUGAGAAAUGUGAGACUAAAAACCAAACCAAAUCCAUUUUUCUAAAUGUGAUUUCAAAUGGAU